GCUGGGCAUGGUGGCACAAUCCUGUAAUCCCAGCAAUCUGGGAAGCUAAGGCAGGAGGAUCACAAGUUUGAGGCCAGCCUCAGCAACUUAUGGAGGCCCUAAGCAACUUAGUGAGAUCCUGUCUCAA
rnacentral:sRNA from 1 species